rnacentral:snoRNA from 1 species
UCACAUGAUGAAACGGCACUGGGCUCCGAGAGUACCCAAAAGGGGCUCAUCACAUGAGCAGACAAGCCGUUUUGUGGCAGGCCUAGAAAACCUCGCCCACUGAUU